rnacentral:rRNA from 1 species
GUGAACGCUGGCGGUAGGCCUAACACAUGCAAGUCGCACGGCAGCACAGUAAGAGCUUGCUCUUACGGGUGGCGAGUGGCGGACGGGUGAGGAAUACAUCGGAAUCUACUUUUUCGUGGGGGAUAACGUAGGGAAACUUACGCUAAUACCGCAUACGACCUACGGGUGAAAGCCGGGGAUCUUCGGACCCUGCGCGAUUGAAUGAGCCGAUGUCGGAUUAGCUAGUUGGCGGGGUAAAGGCCCACCAAGGCGACGAUCCGUAGCUGGUCUGAGAGGAUGAUCAGCCACACUGGAACUGAGACACGGUCCAGACUCCUACGGGAGGCAGCAGUGGGGAAUAUUGGACAAUGGGCGCAAGCCUGAUCCAGCCAUACCGCGUGGGUGAAGAAGGCCUUCGGGUUGUAAAGCCCUUUUGUUGGGAAAGAAAAGCAGCAGGUUAAUACCCCGCUGUUCUGACGGUACCCAAAGAAUAAGCACCGGCUAACUUCGUG